rnacentral:rRNA from 1 species
AUUGAACGCUGGCGGCAUGCCUUACACAUGCAAGUCGAACGGUAACAGGUCUUCGGAUGCUGACGAGUGGCGAACGGGUGAGUAAUACAUCGGAACGUGCCUAGUAGUGGGGGAUAACUACUCGAAAGAGUGGCUAAUACCGCAUGAGAUCUACGGAUGAAAGCAGGGGAUCGCAAGACCUUGUGCUACUAGAGCGGCCGAUGGCAGAUUAGGUAGUUGGUGGGAUAAAAGCUUACCAAGCCGACGAUCUGUAGCUGGUCUGAGAGGACGAUCAGCCACCAGGGGACUGAGAAACGGCACAGACUCCUACGGGAGGCAGCAGUAGGGAAUUUUGGACAAUGGGCGCAAGCCUGAUCCAGCAAUGCCGCGUGCAGGAUGAAGGCCUUAGGGUUGUAAACUGCUUUUGUACGGAACGAAAAGCCCCGGGUUAAUACCCUGGGGUCAUGACGGUACCGUAAGAAUAAGCACCGGCUAACUACGUGCCAGCCGCCGCAGUAA